rnacentral:rRNA from 1 species
CCCAGACAGCCAGGAUGUUGGCUUAGAAGCAGCCAUCAUUUAAAGAAAGCGUAAUAGCUCACUGGUCGAGUCGGCCUGCGCGGAAGAUGUAACGGGGCUAAACCAUGCACCGAAGCUGCGGCAGCGACGCUGAUGCGUUGUUGGGUAGGGGAGCGUUCUGUAAGCCUGCGAAGGUGGCCUGUGAGGGUUGCUGGAGGUAUCAGAAGUGCGAAUGCUGACAUAAGUAACGAUAAAGCGGGUGAAAAGCCCGCUCGCCGGAAGACCAAGGGUUCCUGUCCAACGUUAAUCGGGGCAGGGUGAGUCGACCCCUAAGGCGAGGCCGAAAGGCGUAGUCGAUGGGAAACGGGUUAAUAUUCCCGUACUUGGUGUUACUGCGAAGGGGGGACGGAGAAGGCUAUGUUGGCCGGGCGACGGUUGUCCCGGUUUAAGCGUGUAGGUGUGUGUUCCAGGUAAAUCCGGUUCACUUUAACACUGAGGCGUGAUGACGAGGCACUACGGUGCUGAAGCAACAAAUGCCCUGCUUCCAGGAAAAGCCUCUAAGCAUCAGGUAACAUCAAAUCGUACCCCAAACCGACACAGGUGGUCAGGUAGAGAAUACCAAGGCGCUUGAGAGAACUCGGGUGAAGGAACUAGGCAAAAUGGUGCCGUAACUUCGGGAGAAGGCACGCUGACACGUAGGUGAAGUGAUUUACUCACGGAGCUGAAGUCAGUCGAAGAUACCAGCUGGCUGCAACUGUUUAUUAAAAACACAGCACUGUGCAAACACGAAAGUGGACGUAUACGGUGUGACGCCUGCCCGGUGCCGGAAGGUUAAUUGAUGGGG